ACGAACGCUGGCGGCGUGCUUAACACAUGCAAGUCGAACGGAAAGGCCCUGCUUUUGUGGGGUGCUCGAGUGGCGAACGGGUGAGUAACACGUGAGUAACCUGCCCUUGACUUUGGGAUAACUUCAGGAAACUGGGGCUAAUACCGGAUAGGAGCUCCUGCUGCAUGGUGGGGGUUGGAAAGUUUCGGCGGUUGGGGAUGGACUCGCGGCUUAUCAGCUUGUUGGUGGGGUAGUGGCUUACCAAGGCUUUGACGGGUAGCCGGCCUGAGAGGGUGACCGGCCACAUUGGGACUGAGAUACGGCCCAGACUCCUACGGGAGGCAGCAGUGGGGAAUAUUGCACAAAGGGCGGAAGCCUGAUGCAGCAACGCCGCGUGCGGGAUGACGGCCUUCGGGUUGUAAACCGCUUUCGCCUGUGACGAAGCGUGAGUGACGGUAAUGGGUAAAGAAGCACCGGCUAACUACGUG
rnacentral:rRNA from 1 species